UACAGAGGGUGCAAGCGUUGUUCGGAAUUAUUGGGCGUAAAGCGCGUGUAGGCGGCUUUGCAAGUCGGGUGUGAAAUCCCUCGGCUCAACCGAGGAAGUGCGCCCGAAACUGCAGAGCUUGAGUACCGGAGAGGAUGGCGGAAUUCCCCAAGUAGAGGUGAAAUUCGUAGAUAUGGGGAGGAACACCGGUGGCGAAGGCGGCCAUCUGGACGGAUACUGACGCUGAGACACGAAAAGCGUGGGUAGCAAACAGG
rnacentral:rRNA from 1 species